AGCUUGGAAGCAGCUAUUCAUUCAAAGAGUGCGUAACAGCUCACUAGUCGAGCGGCAAAGCGUGGAUAAUAAACGGGCAUCAAGUAUACCACCGAAGUUCUGGGCACGAAAGUGCGGUAGGGGAGCAUUCCAUUGACGUCGAAGCCAUUCCGCGAGGAUAGGUGGAGUUUAUGGAAAAGCAAAUGUAGGCAUGAGUAACGAUAAUGCGGGAGAGUAACCCGCACACCGCAAGACCAAGGUUUCCUGAUCAACGCUAAUCGGAUCAGGGUUAGUCGGGUCCUAAGGGUAAGCCGAACGGCGAUCUCGAUGGAUAAUCGGUUAAUAUUCCGAUACUAACAUAUACCUCGAUGGAGAGACGAAGGAACGUAAGUGCCGCCACCUGACGGAAUAGGUGGUUAAAGGGCGUAGGUAUAGGGGCAGAUUAAGAGUUAGUCCUUGCUGAAACCUGACAGUACAGAGAGCCUACGGGCAAUUUGAUAGAGCACCCAAGUCGACUUCCGAGAAAAUCUUCUAAGUUAUAGUAUAUGUUACCCGUACCGUAAACCGACACAGGUGGUCGAGGAGAGUAUCCUAAGGUGCUCGAGUGAAUCACGGUUAAGGAACUAGGCAAAUUAACCCCGUAACUUCGGGAAAAGGGGUCCCUAUGAAAGUAGGGCGCAGCGAAGAGGUCCAGGCGACUGUUUAUCAAAAACACAGGGCUCUGCAAAUUCGAAAGAAGACGUAUAGGGCCUGACACCUGCCCGGUGCUGGAAGGUUAAGAGGGGAUGUCAUCGCAAGAGAAGCAUUGAAUCGAAGCCCCAGUAAACGGCGGCCGUAACUAUAACGGUCCUAAGGUAGCGAAAUUCCUUGUCGGGUAAGUUCCGACCUGCACGAAUGGUGUAACGAUCUGGACACUGUCUCAACCGUGAGCUCGGUGAAAUUGUAGUCCCGGUGAUGAUGCCGGGUACCCGCAACGGGACGAAAAGACCCCGUGAACCUUUACUAUAGCUUAACGCUGAAUUUGGGUACACAAUGUGUAGGAUAGGCCGGAGGCUUUGAAGCGGGCACGCCAGUGUUCGUGGAGCCGACGUUGAAAUACGGCCCUUUGUGUAUUUGAGUUCUAACCCUGCGAAGGGGACACCGUUUGGUGGGUAGUUUGACUGGGGUGGUCGCCUCCAAAAGCGUAACGGAGGCUUCCCAAGGUACCCUCAGCACGAAUGGUAACCGUGCGCGGAGUGCAAUAGCAUAAGGGUGCUUGACUGUGAGACAUACAAGUCGACCAGGUACGAAAGUAGGGUAUAGUGAUCCGGUGGUUCUGCGUGGACUGGCCAUCGCUCAAAGGAUAAAAGGUACUCCGGGGAUAACAGGCUGAUCGCCGCCAAGAGCUCAUAUCGACGCGGCGGUUUGGCACCUCGAUGUCGGCUCGUCACAUCCUGGGGCUGGAGAAGGUCCC
rnacentral:rRNA from 1 species